AUGCACAACGAAAGCAAACUAAAUAUGCAGAUACAUGGAAUCAAGAUUAAGUCUAACAUUCACCCCCUAAUCUUGAUUCUCCUAUCAUCAACGCAGAUCCCCCACAACCACUUGACAACGUCAUCGCAGCGCCGUGCACCUUGCCGUGGACGACGUCGUCGCAGCGCCGGACACCCCCAUGCACCAUCUUGUCGUGGUCGACGCCAUCGCAGCGCCGGACACCACCAUGCACCAUCUUGUCGUGGUCGACGCCGUCGCAGCGCCGGACACCACCAUGCACCAUCUUGUCGUGGUCGACGCCUUCGCAGCACCGGACACCAUCAUGCACCAUCUGGUCGUGGUCGACGCCGUCGCAGCGCCCAUCACUGUUGGAAAUAA
rnacentral:rRNA from 1 species